CCCUUAGAUGUUCUGGGCCGCACGCGCGCUACACUGACGGGACCACCGAGUUUUAACCUUCACCGGUAGGUGCGGGUAAUCUUUUGAACUCCCGUCGUGUUGGGGAUAGAUCUUUGCAAUUUUCGAUCUUAAACGAGGAAUUCCUAGUAAGCGUGAUUCAUCAGAUCGCGUUGAUUACGUCCCUGCCCUUUGUACACACCGCCCGUCGCUACUACCGAUUGAAUGGUUUAGUGAGUCCUCGGGAUCAGUCCUCUGAGCGUGGCAACACGCACGUUGGACAGAGAACUUGGUCAAACUUGAUCAUUUAGAGGAAGUAAAAGUCGUAACA
rnacentral:rRNA from 1 species